CCUUCUUCUGCCUUGUGAUAGUUUGCCACAGGACAAUUCAGAAGCAACAGUGCAACCAGAGACAAUGACAGUGACCAAGACAAAGGCAAGGAGAAAAGACAGAAAAUGCUUGGAAAAAGUUCAGAGUGAUGUGUCAGAGAGUGAGGAUUUUCAAAAUGGUGAGCUGGUGUUACAGUUCCCUACCUCUUUGAGUCAGUGCUGGAAUCCUGCUCGUCUCAAUCCUGAAGCAGAACCUUUCACGCCGAGUGUGGAGCAGUGCUUGGAACAACAGCCACCGAGGAUUGAGGAGGAGAUAACAGAAGGGGCCCUAGAGGAGUCCCAGGAGGAGGAUCCUGGGAUGCCUGCAUGACAGUCAGAGGUAUCAGGAGAGCAAGCAUCAGUUGAAAGUGAGGAUGACGACUCUAUACCUGUGAAUUCUUAUCCAAGGAGAGAACACUGCCGAACAAAGAUUCUGACUUUUGAAUCGUUGGGUCAGCCAUCUGUGGUGGAAGUUGUGAUGGAUAGACUAAAUGUGAGUACAGAGACUUCAGUCCAAAGACUGUGGUGACCGUGGACAUUUUUGGAGCAAGCGGUGUUGGACCAAGGCCAGGAAGAAAGUCAAGGACCUCAGCCAUCUGAACAAUGGACUCUUCUCUCUGUUGCAGUCAGGGAAGUGCUUCCGCUCCCUGAAGGCCAACACAGAGAGAAUGAGGAGGAGCUUCUUCCCACUGGCCAUUUGGGCCCUCAACCAGUCUGAUAUUGCACAUCAUAUAUUACACAAACAACUGUACAUAUCUGCACCUUAUUCAAAACACAGUCAUGUUGUUUCUUCCACUGUAUCUCAUAUCAGAUUUUUAUAUUUUUCCUUUCCUACAUGUAUAAAAGAAAAUUCCAGUUUAUAUAAAUUUUAUUCUUAUGUCACAGACAGUAAAAAAUAGCAUUUCAUUGUGUAUCAUACUGUGUAUGGUUGUGUAUGUGACCAAUAAAAUUUGAAUUUGAAUUUGAAGCCCUGAACAA